CCCCCCCCCCUCUCUCUCUCCUUCCUGCGAAGUUCCCACGGGAGUCCCAGGGAAAGGAGGGUUCUAUGAGGACCAACCUCUUGGGUGAAGUGGAGACACUUUGGUAAUAUAGGAAGAAGAAGAAGAAGAAAUCCCCUCAAGGUGACGAUCUUGCUGAAUUCUGGACCUCGUU